CCUACGGGAGGCAGCAGUGGGGAAUAUUGCACAAUGGGCGCAAGCCUGAUGCAGCCAUGCCGCGUGUGUGAAGAAGGCCUUCGGGUUGUAAAGCGCUUUCAGCGGGGAGGAAGGCGGUGAGGUUAAUAACCUCAUAGAUUGACGUUACCCGCAGAAGAAGCACCGGCUAACUCCGUGCCAGCAGCCGCGGUAAUACGGAGGGUGUAAGCGUUAAUCGGAAUUACUGGGCGUAAAGCGCACGCAGGCGGUCUGUCAAGUCGGAUGUGAAAUCCCCGGGCUCAACCUGGGAACUGCAUUCGAAACUGGCAGGCUAGAGUCUUGUAGAGGGGAGUAGAAUUCCAGGUGUAGCGGUGAAAUGCGUAGAGAUCUGGAGGAAUACCGGUGGCGAAGGCGGCCCCCUGGACAAAGACUGACGCUCAGGUGCGAAAGCGUGGGGAGCAAACAGGAUUAGAUACCCUAGUAGUC
rnacentral:rRNA from 1 species